rnacentral:rRNA from 1 species
AUUGAACGCUGGCGGCGUGCUUAACACAUGCAAGUCGAUCGGUAACGCGGGGGCAACCCUGGCGACGAGAGGCGGACGGGUGAGGAACGCUUGGGAAUCUGCCUAUCAGCGGGGGACAACCCGGGGAAACUCGGGCUAAUACCGCAUACGCUCUACGGAGGAAAGCCGGGGACCGCAAGGCCUGGCACUGAUAGAUGAGCCCAAGUCGGAUUAGCUAGUUGGCGGGGUAACGGCCCACCAAGGCGACGAUCCGUAGCUGGUCUGAGAGGACGAUCAGCCACACUGGGACUGAGACACGGCCCAGACUCCUACGGGAGGCAGCAGUGGGGAAUAUUGGACAAUGGGGGAAACCCUGAUCCAGCGACGCCGCGUGGGUGAAGAAGGCCUGCGGGUUGUAAAGCCCUUUCGGUAGGGACGAAAACUCUCGACUUAACACGUCGGGAGCUUGACUUAACCUACAAAAGAAGCACCGGCUAACUCUGUGCCAGCCGCCGCAGUAACAC